rnacentral:lncRNA from 1 species
CAGCACUCUGCGUCCCUCCGUCACUUCACCUGCACCUCCACACAGUAAAGGGUCAGUUCCUUGAUGAGCAGCACUCUGUGUCCCUCCGUCACUUCACCUGCACGUCCACACAAUAAAGGGCCAGUCCCUUGAUGAGCAGCCCUCUGCGUCCCUCCGUCACUUCACCUGCACCUCCACACAGUAAAGGGCCAGUUCCCUUGAUGAGCAGCCCUCUGUGUCCCUCCAUGACUUCACCUGCACGUCCACACAGUAAAGGGUCAGUCCCUUGAUGGGCAGCACUCUGUGUCCCUCCGUCACUUCACCUGCACGUCCACACAGUAAAGGGCCAGUUCCCUUGAUGAGCAGCCCUCUGCGUCCCUCCAUGACUUCACCUGCACCUCCACACAGUAAAGGGUCAGUCCCUUGAUGAGCAGCACUCUGUGUCCCUCCGUCACUUCACCUGCACCUCCACACAGUAAAGGGUCAGUCCCUUGAUGAGCAGCCCUCUGCGUCCCUCCGUCACUUCACCUGCACCUCCACACAGUAAAGGGCCAGUUCCCUUGAUGAGCAGCCCUCUGCGUCCCUCCAUGACUUCACCUGCACGUCCACACAGUAAAGGGCCAGUUCCCUUGAUGAGCAGCCCUCUGCGUCCCUCCGUCACUUCACCUGCACCUCCACACAGUAAAGGGCCAGUCCCUUGAUGAGCAGCACUCUGUGUCCCUCCGUCACUUCACCUGCACGUCCACACAGUAAAGGGCCAGUCCCUUGAUGAGCAGCCCUCUGUGUCCCUCCAUGACUUCACCUGCACCUCCACACAGUAAAGGGUCAGUUCCCUUGAUGAGCAGCCCUCUGCGUCCCUCCAUGACUUCACCUGCACGUCCACUCAGUAAAGGGCCAGUCCCUUGAUGAGCAGCCCUCUGCGUCCCUCCGUCACUUCACCUGCACGUCCACACAGUAAAGGGCCAGUCCCUUGAUGAGCAGCCCUCUGUGUCCCUCCGUCGCUUCACCUGCACGUCCACACAAUAGAGGUCCAGUUCCCUUGAUGAGCAGCACUCUGCGUCCCUCUGUCGCUUCACCUGCACGUCCACACAGUAGAGGUCCAGUUCCCUGAACUCGUCAGCUUUUUGUAUUCUCCAUGCAACCUCUACCUGCACUCAACAAGCCUCUCCUGGAUUUUCAUAUCUGUGUUUGAGAUAGAAGUCCUUGUAAGGAUGAGUCAUCUCCUGUUAGACAGUAAAAAUACUUUUAUCGCCAUAGAUGCAGAAACAAUGGGGUAUGAAUUGAACAAUCGAAGUACACCCUGAAGGUUGUGGCAGAGAAAUGUGAGGUAGACCCGUUUGUGUCUGGGGCCUUCCUACCUUUCCACAUGGUACUGCAGAAUAAUGGAAGGUCGAUGGAUCAUCUUGUACAAUGUUUGGAAAUAUUGGCUCUCUCCUUUGAGAAAAAUAAAAGU